rnacentral:rRNA from 1 species
GACGAACGCUGGCGGCGUGCCUAAUACAUGCAAGUCGAGCGGACUUAAAAAGCUUGCUUUUUAAGUUAGCGGCGGACGGGUGAGUAACACGUGGGCAACCUGCCUGUAAGACUGGGAUAACUUCGGGAAACCGGAGCUAAUACCGGAUAAUCCUUUUCUACUCAUGUAGAAAAGCUGAAAGACGGUUUACGCUGUCACUUACAGAUGGGCCCGCGGCGCAUUAGCUAGUUGGUGAGGUAACGGCUCACCAAGGCGACGAUGCGUAGCCGACCUGAGAGGGUGAUCGGCCACACUGGGACUGAGACACGGCCCAGACUCCUACGGGAGGCAGCAGUAGGGAAUCUUCCGCAAAGGACGAAAGUCUGACGGAGCAACGCCGCGUGAGUGAUGAAGGUUUUCGGAUCGUAAAACUCUGUUGUUAGGGAAGAACAAGUACGAGAGUAACUGCUCGUACCUUGACGGUACCUAACCAGAAAGCCACGGCUAACUACGUG